rnacentral:rRNA from 1 species
UAAUACGGAGGGUGCAAGCGUUGUUCGGAAUUACUGGGCGUAAAGGGCGCGUAGGCGGUUUGAUAAGUCAGAUGUGAAAGCCCACGGCUUAACUGUGGAAGUGCAUUUGAAACUGUCAGACUUGAGUACCAGAGGGGAAAGUGGAAUUCCCGGUGUAGAGGUGAAAUUCGUAGAUAUCGGGAGGAAUACCGGUGGCGAAGGCGACUUUCUGGCUGGAUACUGACGCUGAGGCGCGAAAGCGUGGGGAGCAAACAGGAUUAGAUACCCUGGUAGUCCACGCUGUAAACGAUGUCAACUAGAUGUAGGGGGUGUUGAUCCCUUCUGUGUCGCAGCUAACGCAUUAAGUUGACCGCCUGGGGAGUACGGUCGCAAGAUUAAAACUCAAAGGAAUUGACGG